UGCCCGAGACUUGUUGUGCUGUUAGUUGUCACAAAAGACAAGACAGUUCUUCAAAGAAAUUAUUCAAGAGAUUACCAGCUGAAAAGACCAGAAAAGAUCUAUGGAUUUCAGCAAUUAAACGUGAUGGAUGAUGCGAAAUGCACACGCCUGUGUAGCAAUCACUUCAUUUCAGAUCUCUCCUUCAGAAAUGCUAACGGGCAACCUGCUGUGCUUUGACCUUGGUGGGAGCAGGUCAUAACUGAGGUAAAGAUCAGGUUGAUGCAAGGAAACCAGAGUGCCCGGAGAAAACCCACGCAGGCACGGGGAGAAUGUGCAAACUCCACACAGGCGAGUCCGGGAUUGAGCCUGGGACCUCAGAACUGUGUGGCCAACGCUUUCCAGCUGAGCCCACCUUGCUGCUCCUGACUGAACCAACACCUGAUAAUAAAGUUGCUGAUAAUCAACUUUUUGUAGUGUUUGUCAAUGUUCCCUCAAAUUUUGUAUAUCUGAGUAGUCCCUUUAACCACUGUGAGCAACAUCAGAUGUGUGCACUGUGGUCAGGGCAGUGUCAUCCAUUGAAGUUGCAUGUCUUAUUAAAAGAAUGAAAUUACAGCAUUUACAUUGCCAUCAAUUCGGAACAAUUACAUAAAAAAAUACAUUGCUGACCAAACCAAGCCAGCUCUAAACUAGGAAAUAUAAAUGUCCAAAUUUGUUCCUAGUUUAUUUCAUUUAUUUAUUAUUUACAAUGAUAUCCCCGUGGGUUUUUUUUUUGUGUCAAACUGAAUUAUUGCUUGCAUAAUAUAUUUUGCAGUCCAUGCUGACAGCUGAAUGAUGCUCCAAAACACUUAUAUGGUGAACAUUAUUUUGCUCCCUGAAUUUAAGAUACAGAACAAGCGUUUUGUGGAGUGCAUUGUCUGUGCUUUCAUCCUUGAUGAAUGUGUGCUGAGAUGGAUUUUUAACAUUACACACAGUCUUAUCAUGCACAAUUUGAUUGAUUGAAUUAAAAAAAAUCAAAUCCUUAACUUUUGAUUGUGACUUCAGCUUUCUGGCAUACUCACAUACUUUUCCAUGUGAUAGUGAAUUUGUUGAACUGAAAGCAGUGUUGUAUUUCUGUUGAUGGCUAGGAGAAUUUUGAAAAUGAGAAUUUGAACAUGCUCUCGGUUCGAUUCGUUUCCCAGUGCGAGCUUCUUCCUUUUCUCUGUCUUUUACGCUUUCUCGCAAAAAAGUACCGAUCCUGACUCCCAUCCAAUUCCCAGUCCACAUCAGAACUGUGAGGCAGAUGCUCUAACCAGUCGUUCUACCCCACCACCUCCAUUCUAAAUCAAUACAGUAUUCUUUAAUAUCUUGUUGUUCUACCCUUUUCACCUGUAACAGCUUCAACUCUUCUGGAAAGUCUUUCAACAAGGUUUAGCAGUGAAUUUACGGGGAUUGUUUUGUGAUUCUUCCGGGAGCACAUUUGUGUGCAGACUGAUGUUCAGUGAGUAGGUCAGGCUCCUGUCCAAUGAAAAUCAAUCCAAAGGUGUUCGCUUGGGUAGAGGACAGAUUCUGCGAAGACAUCCAUACCAAAUUCUUUCAUUCAUGUCUUGAAAAUGACAUAAAUUACUGAUCUUUCUUAGAUAUGAACCUAAACACAACAUUUGUUAGACCUGGCUAAUCACUGCCACUUAAAAAGAGCUACAGCUGACUUAAUGGAAGCUGCUAAAUAUCGUACGCUGGCAGUAAAAUUCCAGCUGCCUUAAACCAAUUUCGUUUGAUGGUCAGUUCGCCCUGGCUUGAUGAACUUCCUCAUUUGAGUUGCUCAUGUUUAUAUUGCAUUCGUUUGAGUGCACUGUGUUGAUACAUUUGGUAAGAUAAAACAAGGGGAAUGCUUUAAUCUACCGUACUUCAAAGAGGUGCCCAAGUCAUUGGCAAAGGCAAAGGUGCAUUUAAGCAAAGCAAAGCAAAUUAAUUUGUAUUGCACAUUCAUAUACAAGGUAACUUUACAUGAUUAAAGGCAUUCAAAUACAUAAAUAAAAACUUGAAAAAGUACAAUUAAAACAACUUUUAGUGCAAGAAAUAGCACUGAAAAGUGGACGUACUUUAAAAAGCUUGAGAAGAAAGUUUUUGAUGUGGAUUUGAAAAUACUCAAACUUGGGGAUGACGCUACCUCUAUUGGAAAUUUACUGCAUUUUCUUUUUUUUUUUGCUGCAUAAUAGCUAAAUGCUGCUUCACCAUAUUUGCUUUGGACUCUGCACUUAAUUCGGCAUAAAAAAAAAAAGCUUGUGGUCAUGAUUUUUAGACUGACCCUCAAAAUUCCCGCCAACACUAACAUUUUUAUGCCACGUAAUAAAUCUGUCAGUGGCUUGAUUUUCCAUGAUCCCGUGCGGAGUGUAGCUAGCUGUGAAUCCGGGUUGCACUCUGAUGUUGUUUAUUUUAUUUACUGUAAGCCUUGUUUUUCAUGCCACUUGGUGCCGGAUCGUUGUGUGUGUAUAUGCAUGUGUGUUCAUGAGCGUCAGCUAGCGUUACUGCCCUGUCCCAAGUCAGAGUGUGACUGAGCCGUAUUAUGUCAAGUUACGUUAUCAUGCUUUGCCAUGUCCAAUUUUUGACAUUGUUUCAUGUUUUUUGGACCAAGCUUUUUGCCUUGUGAUUUUUGUACCAUCGUCCUG